rnacentral:rRNA from 1 species
GGGGCCGUUCCGGAUUAUUGGGCGUAAGAGCUCGUAGGCGGUUUGUCGCGUCUGCCGUGAAAGUCCGGGGCUCAACUCCGGAUCUGCGGUGGGUACGGGCAGACUAGAGUGAUGUAGGGGAGACUGGAAUUCCUGGUGUAGCGGUGAAAUGCGCAGAUAUCAGGAGGAACACCGAUGGCGAAGGCAGGUCUCUGGGCAUUAACUGACGCUGAGGAGCGAAAGCAUGGGGAGCGAACAGGAUUAGAUACCCUGGUAGUCCAUGCCGUAAACGUUGGGCACUAGGUGUGGGGGACAUUCCACGUUUUCCGCGCCGUAGCUAACGCAUUAAGUGCCCCGCCUGGGGAGUACGGCCGCAAGGCUAAAACUCAAAGGAAUUGACGGGGGCCCGCACAAGCGGCGGAGCAUGCGGAUUAAUUCGAUGCAACGCGAAGAACCUUACCAAGGCUUGACAUGAACCGGUAAGACCUGGAAACAGGUCCCCCACUUGUGGCCGGUUUACAGGUGGUGCAUGGUUGUCGUCAGCUCGUGUCGUGAGAUGUUGGGUUAAGUCCCGCAACGAGCGCAACCCUCGUUCCAUGUUGCCAGCGCGUUAUGGCGGGGACUCAUGGGAGACUGCCGGGGUCAACUCGGAGGAAGGUGGGGACGACGUCAAAUCAUCAUGCCCCUUAUGUCUUGGGCUUCACGCAUGCUACAAUGGCCGGUACAAAGGGUUGCGAUACUGUGAGGUGGAGCUAAUCCCAAAAAGCCGGUCUCAGUUCGGAUUGGGGUCUGCAACUCGACCCCAUGAAGUCGGAGUCGCUAGUAAUCGCAGAUCAGCAACGCUGCGGUGAAUACGUCCCCGGGCCUUGUACACACCGCCCGUCAAGUCACGAAAGUUGGUAACACCCGAAGCCGGUGGCCUAACCCCUUGUGGGAGGGAGCUGUCGAAGGUGGGACUGGCGAUUGGGACUAAGUCGUAACAAGGUAAC